AUAUAUUUAUGACUGGAAACUGGAUAGAAUUAUGAGCACAGGCAAAUGGGCAUGAGCACAUGGAAUUAUGAACACAUGCAAAACUCGACUGAUUUAACCAUCUCUUCUGAUGACAUUUGAUUCUACCUCUCUGCUUCAAAACAGCUU